CAGCACAGGUCGUCACUGGGUGUAAAAUGGGACUGUUACAGUAAGACAAUUUCUUAUAUUUUCCUUCCUAAAGCUAAUUGUUUGAAUCAUUUCUCACUUCGUGUCCUACCAGUAACCGGCUGCAUUUGCUUUCCCUGCCUGUGAAUGUGUUUGUUUGCUACUGCCAAGGACACAAAGGGAAGCUACUGCUGCAAGAGGGACAAGAAUGCUACGUUACAUUCCAUUCCAGCUCGCAUGGCGCACAGCCCUGCUGGGGUCUCUCUGGGUCUAUGACAACCUGCCAGGAGCAGGAUGGCCAGCACUGUGUUGGGAACAUCUGUGUCAGAUGUUACGCCUUCCAGCACAACCAAAAGCGCAGCAGAAACCACUCAGUCCUAUUUUCAGUGACAGAAUGGUGACCCGACGUCCUUACUCUGCCCAGAUCGCCACCUGAAGAAGGUGAAAGAAGUUGCGCUCGAAGCUUCAUUACACCGCUUUGAUGCUGAAGUAAGAAUUCCCACAGCGAAGAUGGACAGAGCAAGACUGACAGAACCAGCCACAUUUUCAUUAUUAAUAUCAGAACUGCACGCAGUCGGAAAGCAGAAAGGACUGAAGAAUUUCAUAGCCCAAAUACCUACAGAAUAAUAAUAAUAAAAUCCCAGAGUGUCACAGUACAGCCCAAUGUGCCUUUUGGAAAUGCUGCCAUUCCAGAUAGCAGGGGAAACACAAAUCCAGCCCAGUUACCAUGGAAAUGUACAGUAUACCUCCAAAAUGCAAAGCCACCUGGCUGACCCAGAGAACUUCUUUGAGAUGAGCAUGGUAGCCCAAUAGCAAACAGCUGUCAAACAUCUCUGUGAUGACAGACUGCAUGGAAAGCAGAAGCCAGCACCACCAUCAGCUUAGUGAGCUGGAGAUGACCCAGCAAUCCUUUUCUUACACAACCCACCAAAGCUACUGCUACAACCAGUGGAGCUGGUUUUAGCAAGAGUGGAAGAUCUGUGGAGGGAAAGGAAAUGCUCAGAAGCCAAACAAUCUAAUGCAGCAUCUGAAAUGGUGCUGCAUGUCUUUUCAGUUAAAUGACUCUCAAUGCAAUGUUCACCCAGGGGUGUAUUUGUUGAUGGGACAGAGACUUAGGAAAAUGGCACUGGAAAGAAAUCAUCUCCUUGAGCAUCCUGCGGUGCCCAGCAGGAGAGGCCCCAACUGCCUCGUGCCUCGAAGUGGGCGCUGCUGUGCCCACCAGGAACAGGGCAGCCAUCUCAGCGCCAAAGCCAUCCCCACCUCCCACCGGCUGGAUCCAAGCCUGAUCCUGGGCAGCAGUUACACGGUCAGGGCUGCUCUGCUCAGAAACCAACACGAGACAUUACAAAAGGAUUUUUCUGAAGAUGUAAAACAGCACCCAGGGAACAACUCAGGAAGGAGGCAUCGAGAACUAAAAUGCUGGAAUUUGGGAAAGUCUCCAAAACCUCAGAAUUUCAUAUAUAUUUGGUAUAGUAAGUGUAGCAGUGAAUUUAAAUCUCAUUAUCCGUUGCUGCUAAAAACAGGAAUGUAACUGAAAGUUUUGGGCAAUUCCAGCAUCCAUCAUCAGUACUCAGGCAUAGGCCUGAUUUCUCUGAGACUCUGAAGUAAUUUA
rnacentral:lncRNA from 1 species